rnacentral:rRNA from 1 species
AUUGAACGCUGGCGGCAGGCCUAACACAUGCAAGUCGAACGAGUGGCGGACGGGUGAGUAAUGUCUGGGAAACUGCCUGAUGGAGGGGGAUAUCUACUGGAAACGGUGGCUAAUACCGCAUACCAUCGGAUGUGCCAAGAUGGGAUUAGCUAGUAGGUGGGGUAAUGGCUCACCUAGGCGACGAUACCUAGCUGGUCUGAGAGGAUGACCGGCCACAUUGGAACUGAGACACGGUCCAGACUCCUACGGGAGGCAGCAGUGGGGAAUAUUCCACAAUGGACGCAAGCCUGAUGCAGCAAUGCCGCGUGUGUGAAGAAGGCCUUCGGGUUGUAAAGCACUUUCAGCGAGGAGGCGUUACUCACAGAAGAAGCACCGGCUAACUCCGUGCCAGCAGCCGCGGUAAUUC